GUGAGCCAGCCCACAUCUCUUUCACCUCACGCACCACGUGCAAUUCACCCAGUUAUCCCAUCCCGCCCUCGCGCUAGGGUUAGCGCGGGCGCCAGCCCCAGCCCGCCCCUUGGCUCCUCGGCCGCCGCUCGCCUUCCUCCGGCAGCACCUCGCCGCCGUGUUUGCCACCUCCCGCCGCUGGUCCACCUCCGCCAUUUCAACUCCUCCCAGCACCACGCCAGCGUAUCUCGUCCACCCUCGAUGUGAUCGACGCCGACGAGGUUCCGUCGUCAUCUCAUCGGCAUAUAUCCUGACAAGGUGAGAGGAACGAUCCCAUCAGGUCGAACAACAAGAGGAACGAUUCCAUCAGGCUGAACGGCGAGCAGCAUCCAUGCCCGACACACACAGAAUCGUGCGUGCCGAGCUGUACUGUUGCUUAAACUCGGAUGCAGCAGUACUACUUACUCUCCUCUUUCUGAUUAGGUACAUGAGCACUCAGAUCCCUCCUCAUGGAUGCCAUCAGUGGCUGCUUCAAUCAAUGGUAUAAAGAACCUUGGAUGGUCACAUUGUAUGCAUGCAUUAGUAUAGGUGACUUGUCAUCUGGUGAUCGAUUCUAUGAACUCCAUACGUUUCUGUGUAAUCGGCAAUUUAUUUUCUGUGUAAUCAUGCCACUGAUGAUUUAUUUUAUAUAGAUUUAAGUUCAAAGUAGGAAACAAUACUAUGAUUAUUAAGAUUUAACAUAAAGGAAGGUUUGGUGAUGCUGACUCCACGCGACAUGACGCUCCCAUCCAAUGGGCGCUGGGGCCGCCCCACUGAACGCCGCUGUCGUAGGACAAAAUCCCAACGCCCCUGGAUCAUUCAUGGCGUGUAGACAGUGCCGACUCGCGACUAGAUAUUACCACGGCACCCAGAGAACGCUCACUUGUGAGCUGUGACUGGACAUGACAGGCACCUGGACGAUGAUGUUGCCUCACACCUGAGCAGCUUGACUAAACGAACAAAUCAUGGAGCACCGAGGCAAAACAUUUGGUUCUUCAGGUACAUCUUCAAUUUUGUUGUCAGUCAUGUGAUCAUGGGGAAUCUCAUCUCAAUUUCCUUUUGGUUGUUCAUCUCGUUCAGUACGACAUGCGUCAGCAAAGCUUUACUUAGGUGGCAGUACAAUAUAUUAUGGUAUGAAUGAUUGGCAAAUGCAUGCUGCAUCUAUUCUUGUGCUGAUUCAGGAAUCCAAUCAAGGCAGGUGCUCUAAUAAAGUGAAGUGUAUAUGAUGGAUUGCCCAACUGAACACUCCAAAAAAUUAAUCUUGCAGUUUUUCAUUCAAGGAUCAAUCUCAUUUGUUUCUUGUCACAUAUGAACUGACAUGCUAGAAAAUUGCCCUGUUGUUAAAUUUUCGAACAUGCUUUCUUUCUUUGCUAAAUAUACAAUUCAUAUUGAACUAAUCUCAUAUUUAGAGCAUAUGCAAUUAAUUAAGCUGUAGAUUCAUGGUGACUAAUGAAGAAGUUUUUUCAGGCCUAUGACUACUAAGUACUAAUAAGGAACACUUACUGCAGAAAUUAAUCGGAUGCUCUAAUCAGAAGGUAAGCUUGAAUGCAUUCUUUGCCUUUUCAGUUCGAGGGCUUCCUCGCAUUUUUCUAGCAACACACUCAUUUUAAGUGAGAACGUUUAACUGAACUGAAUUGUCAUGCAAUCCAGUUUCUCGACCGACCAAUCGUGAUUCAUGGGAAUUGACAUUUACUCCGUAGUGAAGUACACAAAUUGUAUUUGACACAAUUGAGCUCGUGGUACUAAAAUUUUACGCCCCGUUGUAUACGCCAAGGUACCCCGCAAGGGCACACGAUUUGAUGCACCACAUCUGUUGAGCAAUCCGGUGUGUUACAAACAGUGUUAUAACUUUGCCUUUGAUGAUUUAUUGCUAUGCUUUCCUUUGUCGCAGAAUUACCAGAAAUACGAAAGGGAGAAGUCAAAGCUUGUGAAGAAACGAAGCACUUCCAAGUUUUUUGGCCGAUGAUGAUGAUGAGACUGACAACCAGAAGGUAAGCUCGCCAAGUGCAUCCUCUUAAGGAUAGGAAGUGUUUUCGGAGGAAGACUGAAGACCAAGAGGAUGGGAAUGAUGAUGGUGUGAGACAAUGUAGCAGAAAACAAUAGCACAUAUUUCUGAGAGGAGUACAAAGGAGAACAAAAUAAAUGGAUGAUGAACACGUGUCGACACUCUUGAUGUAUGCUAUUCUUCCUAGGAUCUAAUUUUUUUGUACAUAAAAACGCAUAGGUAUGAAAUGGUCAAUCAAAAUGUACAACAUCGCUUGUCGAAAAAACGUUUUGAUGUGUCUUAUUUUAGGUCAAAAUCAAGUGCGAUUUUGUUAAUUUAGAUAUUGAUGCUUGGAUUGGGGAGACGGAAUAGUGAGUGCAGGAAGAAGACUGAUGUAAUGAAAAAGCUGGCACUAUUGUUUGAUGUGCAUGUAGAUAUGAUCAAUGUUA